CCUGUUGAACGUCCGAUGACGCGUUGCUCCGACCUGAGCUCCAAAUCUGUUGGUUACCUGAUAUGUAUUGAUGUGGAAAAAAUAUGAGGAUUUAAAAACACCCUUUUAAAUAGUAGUAGUUGUUUAUUUUGAAAGAUAUUUUUUUAUUAUAUUUGGAAAUCUAUAUUAUUAAAAGAUGAGGAUCUAAAAAAAUUGUAUAUUGAUAAUCAUUAAAUCAUACUAAUAUUGAUUGCAAGUAGCUAUCGUGUGAAACUUUUGUUUGUACAAAAUGUGAGGAUGAGGGUCUAAUAAGAUGUAUAUUUUUAAGGAUUGUAUAAAUUAUAAUUUCAAAUAUUUUGUUGAUUGACCGCAAGGUAUGACAUUGGAUGAUUAGUGAAAAUCAUUUUUAUCAUGAUAAUUAAGGUGUAUACAUAUAGUCAAUGUAUGAAGGAAGUAUUUUAUACAGCAAUUGUUAAGUUGUUUAUCCUUAAAUGUGAGACAUAGAUAUGUCUGGUUGGUACGAAGUUAACGAAAACCUAAUAUAUAAGUAUGAACAUUGACCUUUUGAAUUUUGUUAUAUACCGUGAAUUUGUUUUGUAUGGUAAUGACAGAGAAAAUUGAUUGUUAAGCAAUGGGAUAACUACAAAAGAGAAAGUAUAUAUAAGGGUGAUGUCGAUUGUUUUUGUUUGGCAAGUAUAAAUUUAAUUUUGGAUAAAUCAAUUAAUAAUCCAUUAAAGACAAAGAAUCUAUAAAUAUAGCUUCAAUUAAUACAUCAGUGACAUGAGAGUGUAAAUAUAUUGAAAAAUUAAAGGGUAAUCUAAUUUUGUACUCAUGUUUUAAUAGAUUAGAUAUUUGGGAAAGUUUCCUUCGUAUACGCUCAUAUCUAUGCAUCUUCAUGAUACCAUUCUACAAACAUUACAGCAAAAAGAGAUAAAUAAGGCUGAGAAAAAAGGAAACCAACUCCUGUAAUUCAUUGUCUAUCAAGCCGCAAAAACGACACUUACGCCAAACUUGAACAGAAGCGGAGUUCUUCAAAGGUAUAGAACAUCUAUCUCUCCAGAACUUAUUGAUCUGGUCAUCACCAGGCUUUCUUGAUAAGCGGAGUUCAUUCUGCCAAUAGCUAGAGCACCUUUCUUUUCUCUUAUAUCUUAUGGAAUUCUCAUGUCUUGCUUUGAAUUCUCUUUCGGAAGUUCAUAGACAAAAAAAACACAGGUUUCCAGACAGUAAUUGCCUCCACUCAGCAAAAUCACACAGCAAAACCACAAUUGUAUUUGCUUCUACUUGCGCAGAGAGAAGCAUCAAGUGAAAUAGUCACCCCGUGUUGACAUAUCGGGUGUGACCAGCAAGAGUCGACCUAAGCCAACAGUUCGAAACGUUCUACACUUAUUUGGUUGUGUAUAGACUAGUGUUAGCGUUGUAUCACGAAGACAUUGUACCAUAGUUGAGACGUUCUAAAUCAUUACCCAACAUAUAUAUACCAAAAUCUUCAUGAACCAUCUGCACCGUAUCUUCAAACUUCAAACCUUCUUUAAUGGUAAAUAAUUUACCUCCAUUUUUGUAUUCACCGUGAAAUUCCAUGAUUCUUUAUUCAACUUACUCUCUCCAAAAACUCCAGUUAUAUGCAUCAUGAUUUUCCUAAACGAAAAUAACAUUUAAAAUAAAAUAGAAACUGAAAUCUAAUUUAUGAAUUAACAAACCUCUGAAUGAGAUCAGAGGAAGAUAAAAGUUAUUUCAUACAUGAGGGUAAGGAAAAGAAGAAAAUGAGACGUUGUCUCGAAGGUUUUUUUUUCAGAAACAUAAAAAGUUUAAUAUAUAUAAAAAAGAAUAUUGUUUGGAUAUUCUAAAGAUUUCUUUUUAAAAACAUCUUAUGUUUGUUAAAACCGUUACUUUGAGUAUAAAAUAAUUAUGAUGAUAAAUAAUUAAGAAAUAUUGAGAUUGGGCAAUUUAGUAAAUUUUAUAUAUACCAAAGUGUAUUUUUCUAAAAAAAUUAAUCAAUGGUGUAGUUUAAAAAAAAUAAUCAAUGGUGUAGUUUUCAAAUUAAUAUCUUAUUUAAGUGUAUUUCUCCAAAUUUUCACAUUGAAAUAUGUAGUUGGUAAAUAGUUAAUUUUUAACUAAAUAGACAUAGAUAAGAAGCUUUUUUACAUCGGUUGUUUUAUUCCAGUCUAGUUACCCAGACCACCUCAAGUUCUUUGAGUAAUAGAAUGACCGUUCGAUGGAAAAAAAAAGGCGGCAUGUUAGGGAUUCGACCAAAAAAAGAAGGCAUAUAUCAGGGUUUUCCAAUGGUCAAUGUUGUAGAAAAGAGGCUAAGUGGUCAAAAGUGUUAAAGAUCUUAACGAAAGCCCCUUAUUUUGUAAUUUCCUCUUAUUUUAAAACCUUUUAAAUUUUAACAUAAAAUUCGCUAAUGUCGAUUUCCCUCGUUUAGCUUUAACUGUUGUCAAAUACUCAAAUGUGGAUGAAAAUAGUUAAAUCAAAAAUAUUGUGUUAUAACUAAAAUAAAAAACUAAAUCAGAAUACUAAAAGCAAGAUAUAGUGAGCAAUUAAGAUAUCCACAUCAUCAAAAAUAAUCAUACAAUCAAAUGCAAUUGUUCUGUCACGUCAUUUUGCUUAAUCACCUUCUAGGUACUCUAGCUACAUCAUGUCUUUAUAGAAAACAUUUACGAAAAUCAUCCACCGGCAAUCUCAUCUCUUCGCCUUCUUCCCUAAAAUUAAUUUCCUAUUUACCAUUGAUCUCUUCCUCUCCUUCUCUGUAUUUCGUUUCUGAUAGGUUUAAUUGCAUAAACUCAUUAUUUAACAUUUUUUACUCUUUCACUCUUCUGUUAGACUCAAAUAUAGAGAGAACUCCGGUGACUUCAACGCCGCCGUUAAUCACCAUGUAAUCAACCUACAAUCAAUACGUCCACUACUUGCAUCGUUUGUUGCUCAGGCGUCGCUUAAUCAGUGCUUCAAUCUCUGCAGAGAAGAAGAUCGAUGAACUAAAACCGGAUUCGGCAAAUGGUUACAGCCGUCGGUGAUGAUCAGUUACGGUUCAAUAAGUGCGAAUACGCCGUACGAGUGAGUGAGCUUGACAUCGAUUCAAUCAACAAAGGGUUUGAUUCGGGUAAAAGUUUGGGGAUGCUUUCGACGGGCCGGAGAUGUGGGCGAGCCUGACGUUGAACCUCCAACGCGCCGCCCCUAAUCGAUCAGGUUCCAUCUCUCUCUCUCUCUCUCUCUCUUUUGAAUCUUCCCUCGCGACUUCCAAUCAACUCUAUGAUGCCUUCGUUGGAUCUAUUUGGUAGAUGUGUGGUUGCAGCGUUGUAGAAACUGGCUAAAAAUUAUCCCGAGGCUGCUCAGAUGAUUUGUACAGCCAUGUAAGCUUCCCUUCCCUUUUUUUUUGAUGUCUUAUCUCGCUAUAAUUGAUUGAUAUGGUAGGAGCUCAAUAGUGUAUAUAAAGUUAUUAUCAUCUGUUAAGUUGUAGCCUCGGGAUUAUGUACGGUGUGUAUAUGAAAUUCAUUUGUAUAAUUGAGAUGAUGAGCUUUUAUUUAAAGUGCGGGUUUUUCUUUUGAUGUGCCAGCCCUGGAUGUUGUGAAAUGUAUAUCGAAUUGAUUUGCUUUGAUUUUAGUUGGUAGAUGUGAGCUUUAGGAGGCACAUAUCCAGCAGACGAGUGUUUGUCCGAGCUGGUAUUGGGAAUAAAAACAAAUACGAGCUUUUCUUUCUCUCUACUCGACUUUAAGAAAUAGCUUCAGCAGGUUAGUUUGAUGAAUUGUUUUUUAAUUUGUUAGUUCAGAGGAUAUAGUAGACUCUUUGUGAGAGUUUUAGGAGUUAUUAGUUUAUCACUAUGAUUUUUAUUGUACAUUUUCUUUUUUUCUUUCUCAUGGGAGUCUUUCCUUCCGCUGGUGUAUGGUCUAAGGAACAGUGUGCAGAUCAAUCAACCUUCUGGAUUCCAACUUGAGACGGCCAAAAAAGCCGGAUUGAAAGCGGUUAACAAUGAGUCUAUCACCGAUGCGGAGAAACAAAAUAGUUAAAACAGACUAUGAAAAUCUUAGCUUUUAAUUAAUAAGAAGGAACAGUUGAAGAUGAAUAAUGGUAAAUGCCUCAACUGGUCUAUACAAAAGAUGGACUCGGCAUGAAGGGUAGACUUCAAAUUAAGCGUAAUUUAGCAAAGAUUUUUGCAGAUCAUCAUCAUUCUUGAGAUUUGUGGUUUGAAGAACAUUGUUGAAAUUCUUUUUGGUUCUCGUGGCUUCUCCAAAAAUAUCUACCCGAAAUUCAGAAACAAUCUAGAAGCAGGAGCUUCGAGAAGUCAUCAAAAGAUCAGAUUAACUAUGAGAUGUCAAGCAUGCGAUUCCACAAAGAGACGAUUUAUCAGAGAGUUCAUGAACCUAGGAACACUCCAAAAACUAUGUUGUUUGAUGUGGAUCAAACUAGAUUUGGCACUGCUAUCAAUCAGAAAGCUUUUCGCAUAUGGAAAGAAUCAUUCCAACCAGCGGUUUAGGAACUUCAGCGUGUCUAUGGCAAAGAAGAUUGUUUCUUUUUGAAUGUAUAAUUAUGUUCAAAUUGUAAGAUUGUAAACAGCUUACUGGAUCUUACUUAGUGUAAAAACUUUGGUUCCAAAGAAAGUUGUAUCUUCUCCAUCGUCCAUCCCUUCAGUAAAAGCUUUCUUUAUGUAA